rnacentral:rRNA from 1 species
GUACGGGGGGUGCAAGCGUUACUCGGAAUCACUGGGCGUAAAGGGAGCGUAGGCGUUCUAUUAAGUCUUGAGUGAAAGCCCGCAGCCUAACUGCGGAACUGCUCAGGAAACUGAUAGAAUUGAGUAUGGAAGAGGUAGGUGGAAUUUCCAGUGUAGGGGUAAAAUCCGUAGAUAUUGGAAGGAAUACCAGAAGCGAAGGCGACCUACUGGGACAUUACUGACGCUGAGGCUCGAAAGCGUGGGGAGC